GUGGGGCCGCGUCCACACCGACAGGACCCGCUGUGGAGGACGUGGGGCCGCGUCCACACCGACAGGACUCCUGCGUUCUCAGGACCCGCCGCGGGAGGAGAAGAAAACACUGGUCAUAAGAGAGCUGCCCCUGUUUACAAAUUGAAUGGAUGGAUGUGGUC